AGGCAACUUUUGUAUUUACUAAUAUUUGAAAUUAUGAAAAACAGAAAUUGGGCUGGGAUUAACGGGAUUUGGCAUAUUUUUCUCAUUUCUGGGAAUUAUCUUCUUUCUCGACAAGGGCUUGCUUGGCAUGGGAAAUAUCCUUUUCAUAUCAGGGGUGUUCUUAACCAUUGUUCUGAAGUCCACCGUGCAAUUUUUCACGAAGCCUCAAAAUUUUAAGGGAACAAUUUCUUUUGGUGUUGGCUUCUUUUUUGUUGUCAUUGGAUGGCCUAUCAUUGGCAUGAUAUUGGAGACUUAUGGUUUCGUUGUACUCUUCAGAUCUAUAUGAAAUUUUUAUUUUCUUGAUUUAACGCAAAUGCUAACUUUUUAGCUCCAC